rnacentral:tRNA from 1 species
AUUUAAAUAAUUUAAAUGUAAAAUAUUGAUUUGUGGAGUCAAAAAUAUGAAAUAUCAUUUUAAAUU